CCACGCCAACGCCAUAACUCUUCUCAUCGCUGACGUUGUUCUCCACAUAACUGUCGCUGUGCCUUCUGCCCAUCAUACCUAGCAAGAGUAGCCACGUGAACUUGGUUCUGCAGCUGAAGAACAAAUAUACACGAAGAAGCUUGGUCAACAUUUGACCAUCAAAAACGUUGUGAACGUGCCCCAACUGGCGAAGAUGUACGAUGUGGCUGCACAGGUGGUCUCAGAGACAAAGUGCCAUGGCAUCGGCUUGAGGUUGUAACUUGGGUUGAUGUCGCUGCACCACAUCUUGGAUGCCUGGGGACUGUCUUUCGCUGUUGUUAGCCGAGAUAAAGGAGUAGGCUGCGAUCACUGGACUCGCAGAUGACGCUCUCAACUCUUAGGCCUUCCUUCGUUCAUCAACCUCAUCAC
rnacentral:lncRNA from 1 species